GUAGGUGGCAAGCGUUGUCCGGGAAUUAUUGGGGCGUAAAGCGCGCGCAGGCGGUUCUUUAAGUCUGAUGUGAAGGGCCCACGGGCUCAACCGUGGAGGGUCAUUGGAAACUGGAGAACUUGAGUACAGAAGAGGAAAGCGGAAUUCCACGUGUAGCGGUGAAAUGCGUAGAGAUGUGGAGGAACACCAGUGGCGAAGGCGGCUUUCUGGUCUGUAACUGACGCUGAGGCGCGAAAGCGUGGGGAGCAAACAGGAUUAGAUACCCUGGUAGUCCACGCCGUAAACGAUGAGUGCUAAGUGUUAGGGGGUUUCCGCCCCUUAGUGCUGCAGCUAACGCAUUAAGCACUCCGCCUGGGGAGUACGGCCGCAAAGGCUG
rnacentral:rRNA from 1 species